CGUCACCGGCGAACGGGUGCGGAACACGUGAGCGACCUGCCCUGGAGUGGGGGAUAGCCGGCCCAACGGCCGGGUAAUACCGCAUACGGCCUGCCCCGUUGGGGGGCGAGGCGAAACGGGUGCAAGCCCGGUUCUAGGAGGGGCUCGCGGCCUAUCAGCUAGUUGGGGGGUAACGGCUUCCCAAGGCGAUGACGGGUAGCUGGUCUGAGAGGAUGGCCAGCCACAUUGGGACUGAGAGACGGCCCAG
rnacentral:rRNA from 1 species